AGACAGAGACAGAGACAGACAGAGGAAAGAGAUCAGAAGAGAGGCUUGGUGUAGCUGAAUGGCCAAAAGAACAUCUUCUAAUUUUGAGAACAGAUACUUAUUCUGUUUCUUACAGUAAAAGAAUCAAAGUGUUUGAAGAAGCUUUGUAGAGUUUAAAAUCUCAAUCCCCAAUGAACAAGAGCAGAAGGAUGGAAUCCUUUGGUGUUUUAUUAGUGACCCUGUGGCUUCAGUUCAUCUGGGUGAGCGGCCAACAGAAGGAGGUGGAGCAGAGUCCUGAGGCCCUCAGUGUUGCAGAGGGAGCCAUCGCCUCUCUCAACUGCACUUACAGGAACAGCGCUUUUCAGUUCUUUAUGGUGUACCGACAGUUUUCCGGGAAAGGCCCUGCCUUUCUCAUGUCCACAUACUCUAAUGUUGAAAAAAAGGAAGGAAGAUUCAGAAUGCAGCUCAACAAAGCCAGUCAGUAUGUUUCCCUGGACAUCACAGCCUCCCAGCACAGUGACUCAGCCACCUACUUCUGUGCAGCGAGCACACAGUGCUCCCCAGGCACCUGCGGCCUGCACCCAAACCCAUCAAGACCUGAGGAGAGACCACAGUACAGAGAAGUUCUGUUCCUGCUCCAGAAGCACUGGGAAUUAUGAGCAAUAAUGUGGGGGAACGUAUAGUGAAUUUUAAUAAUUCUGAUAAUAGUUACCUUAAAAGGGAAAAUGUAGCCAAAUAUUAGUUUGGUAGAAAUAUUUUUUAAUUUGCAACUGUUACUCAAAAAAUUUUU